AACGAACGCUGGCGGCGUGCCUAACACAUGCAAGUCGAACGAGAAAGUCCUUCGGGAUGAGUAGAGUGGCGCACGGGAGAGUAAGGAAUAGGAACGUACCUUUUGGAGGGGGAUAACUACGGGAAACCGUGGCUAAUACCGUAUGAGAUCGAGAGAUGAAAGGAGGCAUCUGCUUGCAAGCUUCCGCCGAUAGAGCGGCCUAUUUCCCAUUAGCUAGUUGGUAGGGUAAAAGCCUACCAAGGCGACGAUGGGUAGCUGGUCUGAGAGGACGAUAAGGCACACUGGAACUGAGACACGGUCCAGACUCCUACGGGAGGCAGCAGUGGGGAAUCUUGCACAAUGGGCGCAAGCCUGAUGCAGCAACGCCGCGUGAGUGAAGAAGGCCCUUGGGUUGUAAAGCUCUUUCGGCUGGGAAGAAGGGGAUAUUGGUGAAUAUCCAAUAAUUCUGACGGUACCAGCAUAAGAAGCACCGGCUAAUUCCGUGCCAGCCGCCGCGGUAA
rnacentral:rRNA from 1 species